rnacentral:rRNA from 1 species
GAUGAACGCUAGCGGCAGGCUUAAUACAUGCAAGUCGUGGGGCAGCAUGACUGUAGCAAUGCAGUUGAUGGCGACCGGCAAACGGGUGCGGAACACGUACACAACCUUCCUUUAAGUGGGGAAUAGCCCAGAGAAAUUUGGAUUAAUACCCCGUAACAUAGUGAAAAGGCAUCUUUUUAUUAUUAUAGCAGCAAUGCGCUUAAUGAUGGGUGUGCGGCUGGUUAGAUAGUUGGCGGGGUAACGGCCCACCAAGUCUGCGAUCAGUAACUGGUGUGAGAGCACGACCAGUCACACGGGCACUGAGACACGGGCCCGACUCCUACGGGAGGCAGCAGUAAGGAAUAUUGGUCAAUGGACGCAAGUCUGAACCAGCCAUGCCGCGUGGAGGAUGAAGGUCCUCUGGAUUGUAAACUUCUUUUAUAUGGGACGAAAAAAGGUCUUUCUAGAUCAACUGACGGUACCAUAUGAAUAAGCACCGGCUAACUCUGUGCCAGCCGCCGCAGUAACAC